rnacentral:lncRNA from 1 species
AAUCCGGUCUCCAUUUCGGAUCCAAAGCGGACAACAUGAUUGCCACAGUAAGUGAUCCCCAUCUCGAAUCUCAUAUCUCCUCUCCCUUUUCGUCCUCCUCGCAGCAAUCGAGUGAUCUCUGGACGCAGCGGUUUAUCGAUCUCUUCCUGGCCUUGUCGGUCUCUUUUCGGGGUGGAUUCGAUGGUUUCUUUUCUUGCUGAGGUUACAAAGCCGGAAUCGGUCGAUAAACCUCUGCAUCCGGACUUCCGCCGACAACCAUUCCUCCGUCCUCCCCCCAACCCAAAACACUCCCCCCCCAACCCCACCUUCUUCCUCCACUUGUUUUCGUCAUCUUAUAUAAUGAUUGGGCAAUGAAGAGGUGGUAGCUGUUAGGGCUAAUUGAUACGGCCGAUUCGAUGCCGAUUUCGAUCCCUUUUUUUUACUCAGAUUAUUGUCGGCAUUCUGCAGAAUUUCAAUCAACGAAUAAUGGUGCCAUCAGCAUUUAGAUCGAUUCAAAAUGGGUGACGUCUUGAGUUGUGAUGAUGGACAGAGAAAACAGUAAAUAUGUUUGAUUUAAUGUCUCUCAGUUCUUUCUUAUGCCUUCAAUUUUUCAUUGUUCUUUUGGAUUCGUUUAUCAUUUCAUUAUCUUCACCAUUUGAUCUAUCCAUAUUUUGGAUUAUUCACUGAAUAGGACGUAAAUGUUUUGUAUUAAACAGACAGCAGAGGACUACUAGAAAUCUUUAUUUACAGAAACUACCAUUAUUGGUUAAUUCGUCAAGGAUGAGAGGUCGGAAUAUACUCUGAGAUGGCUUAAACUUUGCUUUGGGAGGACUAAAUGGGGAAAAUAAGCUCAACUGGUCAAAUUAAUGUGACAGGAUGGCACAGUUUUUAUGAAGAUGAUUGAGAUAUAUUCCAUAUUUUGAUGUUUAAACAGUUAGCCUCAGAAAUAUUUUUCAUUUAAUUUAUUCCUUCUACCAAGAUUUGUUGUUCUCCAUGGAUGUGAACCUCCCUAUAUUUGUUAUGUUUGCAAUGCUUGAAGGUGAAUCUGUAUAAAGAAUUUAAACAUAAAUAUUUUUCUAAC